rnacentral:rRNA from 1 species
UGUGACAAACUUUUCCUAGUACGAAAGGGCCGGAAAAGUGAGGCCAAUACCAAUCAAGCACGCCUCAUCUACAAGCAAUGAACCCCACUAAACUGCCAAAGACACCCACACCUACCCUAGUUCUAGAAAAGAACC